GAUGAACGCUGGCGGCGUGCCUAAUACAUGCAAGUCGAGCGAACGGACGAGAAGCUUGCUUCUCUGAUGUUAGCGGCGGACGGGUGAGUAACACGUGGAUAACCUACCUAUAAGACUGGGAUAACUUCGGGAAACCGGAGCUAAUACCGGAUAAUAUUUUGAACCGCAUGGUUCAAAAGUGAAAGACGGUCUUGCUGUCACUUAUAGAUGGAUCCGCGCUGCAUUAGCUAGUUGGUAAGGUAACGGCUUACCAAGGCAGCGAUGCAUAGCCGACCUGAGAGGGUGAUCGGCCACACUGGAAGUGAGACACGGUCCAGACUCCUGCGGGGGGCAGCAGUAGGGAAUCUUCCGCAAUGGGCGAAAGCCGGACGGAGCAACGCCGCGUGAGUGAUGAAGGUCUUCGGAUCGUAAAACUCUGUUAUUAGGGAAGAACAUAUGUGUAAGUAACUGUGCACAUCCUGACGGUACCUAAUCAGAAAGCCACGGCUAACUCCGUG
rnacentral:rRNA from 1 species